rnacentral:rRNA from 1 species
CGCCAGACUCCUACGGGAGGCAGCAGUGAGGAAUAUUGGUCAAUGGGCGCGAGCCUGAACCAGCCAAGUCGCGUGAGGGAUGACGGUCCUACGGAUUGUAAACCUCUUUUGCCGGGGAGCAAGCGUGCGUUCGUGAACGCGCGUCGAGAGUACCCGGAGAAAAAGCAUCGGCUAACUCCGUGCCAGCAGCCGCGGUAAUACGGAGGAUGCGAGCGUUAUCCGGAUUUAUUGGGUUUAAAGGGUGCGUAGGCGGGAUGCCAAGUCAGCGGUAAAAAUGCGGUGCUCAACGCCGUCGAGCCGUUGAAACUGGCGUUCUUGAGUGGGCGAGAAGUAUGCGGAAUGCGUGGUGUAGCGGUGAAAUGCAUAGAUAUUAGGAGGAACACCAGUGGCGAAGGCGGCUUACUGGACUGUAACUGACGUUGAGGCUCGAAAGCGUGGGGAGCAAACAGGAUUAGAUACCCCAGUA